rnacentral:rRNA from 1 species
UACGAAGGGGGGCUAGCGUUGCUCGGAAUCACUGGGCGUAAAGGGUGCGUAGGCGGGUCUUUAAGUCAGGGGUGAAAUCCUGGAGCUCAACUCCAGAACUGCCUUUGAUACUGAGGAUCUUGAGUUCGGGGAGAGGUGAGUGGAACUGCGAGUGUAGAGGUGAAAUUCGUAGAUAUUCGCAAGAACACCAGUGGCGAAGGCGGCUCACUGGCCCGAUACUGACGCUGAGGCACGAAAGCGUGGGGAGCAAACAGGG